rnacentral:rRNA from 1 species
UACGAAGGGUGCAAGCGUUAAUCGGAAUUACUGGGCGUAAAGCGCGCGUAGGUGGUUCAGCAAGUUGGAUGUGAAAUCCCCGGGCUAAACCUGGGAACUGCAUCCAAAACUACUGAGCUAGAGUACGGUAGAGGGUGGUGGAAUUUCCUGUGUAGCGGUGAAAUGCGUAGAUAUAGGAAGGAACACCAGUGGCGAAGGCGACCACCUGGACUGAUACUGACACUGAGGUGCGAAAGCGUGGGGAGCAAACAGG